GUGGGCCCGGGCCCCGUGAUGGGCCGGCUGGGCCGGUCUCCCGACGCAGUAAGAACCCCCUACCCGCUGCCUCCCAACCAGAACCGCUUGGCACACCUUCAGGCACAGAACGUUUAUUGGCCACCUACUAUGCGCCAGGGGGAGACCAAGGCCAACAGCAUUCUCAGGCAGUCCUUGUCUGUUUCCCACUGAACCCUCCAGAGACCAGCAGGGAGGGCCGCUGAGACCAGACAGCAGAGUCCUGGGCAGGCUGACUCAGUUGCUCGAAUCCUCCCUCCAAGGCCAAGAACACCUGUGAUCCUGGAUCAGGACAGCUUUCUCCUCCCAGAGGAAAGCUCGGACCCCUGCCACCACCUCGCCACUGAAUCCUGUCAGGGGUCAAGCAUUUGGUGGGCUUCCACUGGGCGCCACCGACUCUGCUGGAUUUUGUGAUGAAUGUAAAAAGCUGGAAGAUCCAGUGCCUGGUGCAGAGUAGGCAUUCAAUAAGUUAUCAUCGAAGGAAUGAAUAAGAGAGUUCUUCCUUCAGAGAGUUCAUAGUCCAGCCUGGAGGAAACUGGCAACCACCAAUGAGAGGCAGAAUUGGAAGAGGGAGAAGGGCUGUCUGGGCUGGUGGGAUAACCCCAAUGUGAAAUGGGCUCACAGACUGUAAGUCUCUUGAAGUCUGAAUGUCUCCUGGUUGGCAAUGAUCUCUCCAGCAUUGGUCACUGUGCCCAGAACAGGGCUCCCACCUGCAUUGAUGUCACCUGGGGCACUGGGCAGGUUUUCCACCUUUCUCUAAGGCUGGGCCUGAUUAUUACAACGAAUAGCAGCUGUGAUCGUAUUUACGAGGAGAGCGCGCAGUUUUAGUAUUCAGAGCCCUGGCUUCAGAUGAGAGCCGGGGGCCUCUGAUUCUCUCUGCAAUGCAGCCUUCCAGGCCACUGCUGUUGCUUAAGGCUGUGCUGCAAUCCGGAGCACUCAGGAGUGGGAAGUCCAGAGUUCUCCCCACUUCUGGGAACAGCCCUCCAUCCCCCUCCCCGCGCCAGCUUCCACAGGCAGUCCUCAUGACAGUGGGUCAGGCUAACCCAGGGUUUCACAAAUGCCUGGCCUGUUCCCAGCACAGCACAGCUGGGAGGGCUCAGCACUGGGGGAAGGAGCACCGUCCUCCUCCCCCUGCCAUCCUCAGGCUGGGGCCCAGGGGCUGGAGCCCAGCAGAGGGAAGGGCUGCACUUGUCUGCACUUGCCCCAGUGCGGGCAGUGAUCCUGGGCCUUCCCUCCCUGCUAAUUUCCCAGCUCUGGCUUAGUCAAGUUUCAAGGAGGAUAUUCCCUUUCCCGGGAAGUGAGGAGGAUCCAGGCUUGUCUUCCCCAAAGGAAGCGAGUGGUCUCAGAGUCACCUGAGGAGGUGUUGCGUAUUGAGAUUCCCCACUCUCCUUGAUUCAGCUUCUGAUUCAGAAAAGCUGAGCUUGGAGUCCGGGAAUCUGCAAUUUCAUCCACUCCCUGGGGACUAGCCGCAGGUGGUUCUUUGGCUUUCAUGAGCCUUGGGAGGGAGGCAGCUCUGGGAGGUGAGAAGGGUUGAGCCAAAAAAAGCCCUGUUUUCUCAGGUAGGACCUCCGGCUCUCUCUAAUGAGCUCCAUGACCCUGGAAUAACUGCCCUUGCAAUCCAAGUCUCACUUUCACUAUCACUGAAAUGGAUGUGUGACCCGAGGGAAGGGUGAUCAAAUGUCCUGGACAUUCAGGGCUACUAACCCAGGACAAGCUGGUCACCGUACCUGAGGAUGAGACAGGACUGUGGAUGUUCGAGGUACUGGAAAUGUGACUUAAAGAUGAGUCUUUGCGGCACAAAUAUCAGACUGUUUAUUUUAUUUA